CACAAUUGUCACUUACAGCUAGUGAUAAUGCCAAAUAACAUCAUCUCACCUUGUAUUAGCUGCCCUGAUUCCAAUGCUGCCAUGACCCCAUACCUUUUUUACCCCUCUUUUUGGCAUGGCAAACUGUUUUAAGACAUCCAGGAUAUGUUCUGUAUGAAGACUAAGCUCCCUAGACUGCAAUAGAACCACAACCCUUGAUAUUUCAUCUCUGCCAGUGUCCUGCAUUCCGACACAUCAACUCUUUGUGGUAUUUAGAGUCCAAUGCAUUACUAGAGAAUUCCUAGCUGUACUCAAACUCAAACCUGACCAGGUUAUUUCUAUAUUACAACUACCUUUUGCUGAGACAAAAGCCCAACACAUGCUGAAUUUCUUGCAAACAGAACACAUUGGCAUAGACUUUACCAAAGGCUCCAAAGUAUAUUCUUGAAGGGUCAGAAGAGAGAAAUUGCCCUUUACAGUAUAUUAAGAACAGGCAUAUUUUUUCCUUGGUAAGGAAGUUUGUUAUGUACCUGGGUGAUUUGAAUCUAACAUUGCUGAGGAAAUGCUGGCUAUGAAAUAAGAACAAAAAAAAAAGUAAAACAUAUCUACUACAUGGCAGGAAAGGAAUCUUAAUACUUUUCUCUGCUGAUUGAUGGACCUAAAAUAUAUUCAGGCAUAUAGAGUUGUCAAAUAUUGCAAACAGAAGAUCUAGAAAAAGACUAGAUCUCACCAAGCUGGUUUUUUCUAUUGGUUGUUAAUUUCAAAGAGAGAGAUAGCACAAAUAUUCAGUGGUAGGAAAACAACUUAAUUUUAGUCAGAUGUCGUAUUCAGGGAAGCUGAAUGCUCAAAAGUGACAUGGAAAGCACAAUUGAGUCAGAGGACUUGUUCCUGCUUAAACUGUAGCAUUCUCAAGAAUUUCUCUGGGUACUAAGACAGUCAGGCCACUUAGCCAGCACAUGGGAAGUCACUGGAAUAGAAUGUGAGGAAGGAUGUUCUAAGAAUGCUUAGACAAUUUGAAUUGAUCUUCCUUGUAGUUGCUUUGAGCAAGUCAAUACGUUAGAAUGAACAUAUAUUCUUGUCAGUUAAUACAUCCUCCUUCACAUAUUCAACGUUGACAACAGAUUUUCAUUUCUUAGAUACGUUAAUGUGUGACUGGAUUGACAUAUACUAUAUUGAGCACAUGAGUCAAAAACAGGAUGAGAAAGUCACACUAAGAGCACCAGGCAUGUUGUGAUGGUUCGUGGCCAGAUUUGGGAAGGCAGUCACAGAAAUGUGUGAGCCACACGUCUUGCUAGAGAAUGCAGAUGCACAUUGCUGAGGAAAUGCUGGCUAUGAAAUAAGAACAAAAAAAAAGUAAAACAUAUCUACUACAUGGCAGGAAAGGAAUCUUAACACUUUUCUCUGCGGAUUGAUGGACCUAAAAUAUAUUCAGGCAUAUAGAGUUGUCAAAUAUUGCAAACAGAAGAUCUAGAAAAAGACUAGAUCUCACCAAGCUGGUUUUUGAGGAUCUGGUUACCUUUGUUCAGCACCUGGUUGCCUACCGCAGUUUAAAAAAACAAAAAACAAAACAAAAACAAAAACAAAAACAACCCCAAAAAACCAAAAACCGACAAAACAAACAAACAAACAAACCCCCCAUCCCCGAACCAAAAACUGCUGGCAACUAUUUUACUUAAUUUUGUUUAUAAGGCUUUGUUAUUUACUGUCCAGAUGCUCCUCAUGGGUUUCUAGAGCAGAAAUCAUGAGGUUUAAGCUGUUUGCUUGCAUUCAUAAGAAAUAUUCCAGUCUACAGGAGACAGCUAGACAGCUUCUCACCUCUCUGCCAUCUGAAUUCAGUCAGGGAACAAUUCUAAGACAUCGCUUUGGUUUGCAGUCAUCUCUCUUUCCUUACAUGCGUAUACGUGUUCUAAGUGGGCCUGCAAUAUCACUUCAAAUGAGUGUUUUGGAAAAGAUAUUCCAAGUUGACAUUGGUGUCUCUCCCUAAGAUUAUGGUCACUAAAGAGCAUAUGCGAAAUCCCUAAUGGAACCAAACGCCUGAAUGACAACUAGUUGUCAUUCACUAGUGGGAGAAUGGUGUUUAGGGAGAAGAGUGGUUUAAAAUUAUUUAUCGAAAACUUUGAAAAUGCCUAUGCCUGGCUUGGAUAACAAGGCGGUGUGCGUAUGCUUGAAGAGUGAGAUAGAAUGUAUUAGGAUUUAAUUGCUGCCAAUGUUCUUAGUUCAGCUACUAUGCAACUAUCUUGGCAGGAGGUGGAGAAAAAAAUAAGCCAUUGUUUGGCUAAUGGGGAGGAGGUCAAUACUCAGAAUGUGCUAAGCACUGUGCUAAUCAUUUACAUCAUGCAUCCAAUUUUCCUAAAACUUGAUGAAGUGUUAUUGAUCCCUCUCAAUAAAUGGAAAAAAAGAAGAAAAAGAAAAUCAUCUUUUAUUAAAAUUCUUGAAGUCGAUGAAUUGAACCAGAAUUUUCCACCAACUGUGAGUCAGCUCACAGAAUUCUUUUAUUAAACAAGAGGUCUUCAUUCAUUCUAACUCCAAUCAAAACUCCUCUGCUUCUGAGCUGUCCAGCACAAUCUAAUGUCUACACAUGAUUUUUUUCAAUAGUCAAAAUGCUAGCAGAAAACACAGAAAGCAUGAGUUAAACAGAUGACUCCUGAAUAUUGUCACUGAAGUUGUAAUUGCAGUCCAGGUUUUAGACCAAAUUUAAACACAAUAAGGUGUCUGAAUUCCUUGUGGAAAACAAAACCCAGAAAGCAGAUAAAACUUAUUCAGGUACGCUCAUUAAAUAUGAACUAGGUACUUAGUGAGGUUCCCUGGGUGCAGAGGGGCGGUUUCUACUGUCAGGAAGCUCAUCUUAUAUCUUGAGGAGGCUGCAUCAAUAAAUAAUUACAGCAGAAUGAUAAUGUAUGCAUGCAUGUUGAGUGAUGAGCAAGGAACAAUAGGGGACAGCUCAAAGAAUAAUUAAUCAUCUGGUGAAGAUAUGAAGAUGUCAAGUAAGCCCCCAUAAAAGAAAGCAAAAUGGUUCUAAUAAAUGAUCAGGUAUCAUGACAAAUGACAGUGCCCUUGGAAGUAAUGCUGGGCAUUGCUUGAGGACAGUAAUGUACUGGAAAAUAAGUGUGGCACCAUUAUCAGCUGUUUGCUUUGCCUACAUCUCAAUUUGUAAUUUUAAUUUCUGGGGCAAACAUAACAGUUUAGGCUUCCAGACAAGUUCUCUUCCAUCAACAUAAUGUGUUUAAAUCACUGGCUUUCCAGGCCUCUCCAGGCCUCACUCUUCUCCAUUACAUUGUUAGGCACUAUUUUUUGCUUCCUAUGACCUGGAUGACCUUGUAUUCUCUUCACUGUGCAUGCUGUCACAAGAUAUGAUGACUCAUUGAGCAUUUUAAAUCCAAACUGACAUAACAACUGCUUUAUUAAAAACAACAGUUUCUCAAGAUGUAAACAAAUAUCAAAACAAGGUGAGGUGUGUUUAAGAUUAUAAAAAAAAAAAAAGAAAACCCACAAAUGUGUACAUGAGAUAGAACAACCAGCAAAGAAGAAAAAUGUGUCCUAGAAUGGACAAAUUCUAAGAAUUAAUUACUUGUUGGUAAGUGUUACAAAAAUGAAGAAAUUCGUGAAGUUUACAGUUCCAAAUACAUCAACCUCUAAAACAGGAAAAAGCAAUAAAUAAAAAGAUAUAUCACCUUGUCAGUAUGUGUUGAUAAAGGGUUAACUGAGCUUGCUUAAUGCAAUUAAACAAUCCAAUAUAUUUGAAAUUGUGCCAUGGAGCCUGAUAGGCAAAACAUUGUUAAACCAGAAGUACCAAUUAAUUACUUUAUUGGACCAUUAAACAUCUGGCUUGCCUUUGUUAGUCAAUUAACUUAAACAGUUCAUUAAAAACCAAUGAAACAUGACAGAAAAAAAUUAGAGGCUUUGUUUUUUUUUUUCCUUUGCGUUUACCUAUGGAUUAAAAGAUUUUAUUUUCUUGUGAACUCUGAUAUCCAAAGGUAUAAUAGGAAAUCAGAGGCCUAUUUGAUUGAUGGGAAAUUCUAUAGCCAAGAUCAAAAUAGGAAGUCAAAGAUCCAUUUGCUUUUAGUAACUGAACACAAAGAAUACUACAGAAAUAUGUAGAGGAGGAAAACCCCUUUUCUAAUAUACCUGAGCCAGAUCCUUAAGAGAAUGAUUUCUAGUUCUAGUGGUAAAAUUCCUCAGCAACCAUUUCUUUCAGGAAAUGAUCAGAAAACUUUAGGAAUAUUGAAUAAGCAUAUAUACCUGCAAUUAAAUAAUCCAAUAUAUUUGAAAUUAUGCCAUGGAGUCUGAUAGGCAAAACAUUGUUAAACAAGAAGUACAAAUUAAUUACUUUAUUGAACCAUUAAUCAUAUGACUUGCCUUUGUUAGCCAUUUUACUUGAAUAGUUCAAUAUAUAUUAUGUGAUAUAUAUGUAUAUAAUAUGUAUAUAUCAUGUAUGUGCAUAUAUAUGAUGAUAGUGUAAUUAGAUGACUGAACUUCACCUCACUAAUAACCAGUAUUUCUUUUAUCUCCACAGGUAUACCUAUAUUAAUAAAUGUGUCUAUACUUAGAUCUGUGAAGUAUAAAUAUAUAUUGUAUAACUUAUUUCUAAAUUUGUAUGUCUCACCUUCAUAUCUGAGUUUAGGGUUAUUAGAUUCUUGAGGAGUCUAUGGUAUUUUAUUCAUUUAUUAUUGAAUCAAACAACUGGAACUAUAAGAUUAUGUUAUUAAUAUUUUUCAUUUUAAGUCCACUCAAAUGAAUAUUUUUAUAAAAUAAAAUUCUGCUCUUAUGUAACUAUAUUCUUUGAAUAAUAUGUGAGAUACAAUAUCAACUGGUUACUGGUAGCUACCCAAGGUUUUUGUGUACAUUUUCAAGCUGGAAAGCAUUAAUUAAGUAGAAGUAAUUAAACCAGUAGGUAUACCAAUUAAUUAUUAAUUAAAAUCUCAACCUUGAAAGUUCUAUUUAAACUCUAAGGAACAAAAAAGUAGAUCUGAUUAUUUCCAAAUCUUCAUAUUGAUGGACAAACUAGAUACCUAAAAAUUAAGACUAUAACAGCAUUAGCAAUAAAAUUUUGUGGCCAAUUAUGCCUACAGGCUUCAGAUUGUAAUGAAGGGAAGGACUAAUUUUAUGUAGCCACAAAACCUACUAACAACGUCUUACAUAGGUAAUUAAUAGGGAAUCAUAAUAAAUGAUUGAAAGAUAGGACUAUUCCAUUAUUCAAAAAAUUCUCCAUGUAGCCCACAAUUCUCAAUGUCUGCCAGAGCUGACCAAUAUUCAGUAUUUGAGGAUACAAGUAUUUUAAGAUCCUGAGGAAACGGAGUAUUAAAAGACUGAAAUAAAGAGGUUGGUCUGCUUUGUUAACUAUGAACCCUAAAAACCAACUUCCUAGUGUCCAUUGUGGGAAUAGAAAUCACAAGGAAUAACAUCAAAUUUAGCAAGGAGAGGGCUUACGAAAAAGAAUAAAGAUUAAGCCAUGGGGGAGAGCACUGCACUCUCCGAAGUGCAGAUGAUCCUGAGAGCUCAGAGGAGACAACUAUUUCUGCCCACAUUCCUAAACCAAGAGGAACCGGCCCAGUGCCCUCUGUGCCUUCUGGACACAGGGACCUAGCAGCAGUCAGGGGCUGGACCAUGACUGCUCCAAAGCCAAAAACCUGUUGCCAGGAGCACCUGAGAGUCGAGGUAAGACCAAAUCUGCUGCCCCAAGUGACCCCCCUGAUGGCUUUAGGACACACAAAGGCAGAGGUCAUCUGGAACAAGACACUUCUUGUUUCUGGCUGUUCAAAGAGCCGAACCAGUCCCACAGUUCUCUGUACCUAAAACCCAUGAGGGACAGAGCUGGACUCUCAGAAAUGUGGACAAUCCUGAGAGCUCAGAGGAGACAACUACUUCUGCCCACAUUCCUGACCCAAGAGGAACUCCUUAGUGUCCUGUGUACCUUAUAGGCAGAGGGACUUAGGAACAGUCAGGGACAGGACCCUUCUAGUUUCUACCUGUACCAAGAGCUGCCAGGAUUAUCUACACACCUGAGAGCAGAGGAAAGACCAACUCUUCAGCUCCAGUAGACCCAACUGUAAGCUUCAGGUCACAAAACAGAUAUCUGUUCCCAGAUCCAGCUGAAAGAAAACAGGUCUACAGGAGUUCUGACACACAGGCUUACAGGUGGGUCCAGGCACUGUCCAGAGACAGCAAGAGACACACACAGGAACUUAAGCAACUGAAACAAGACUGCAUAGCAUCAUCAGAGCCCAGUUCUCCCACCAAUGCAAAUACUGGAUACCCAAACACACCAGAAAAGCAGGAUUUGGAUUUAAAAUCACAUCUCAUGAUGAUGAUAGGGAACUUUAAGAAGGACAUAAAUAACUCCAGUAAAGAAAUAUAGGACAAAACAGGUAAACAAGUAGAAGCCCUUAAAGGGGAAACACAAAAAUCUCCUAAAGAAUUACAGAAAAACACAAACAGGUGAAGGAAUUGAACAACACAAUCCAGGCUCUAAUAAUGGAAAUAGAAACAAUAAAGAAAUCACAAAUGGAGACAGCCCUGGAGAUAUGAAACCUAGGAAAAAGAUUAGGAGACAUAGAUGCAAGCAUCACCAAUGGAAUACAAGAGAUAGAAGACAGAAUCUCAGGGGCAGAAGAUACCAUAGAAAACAUGGACACAACCAUCAAAAAUAAAGUAAAACAUAAAAACCACCCUAACCUAAAACUAGUAAAUCUAUGACACAAUGAGGUAGUACAGGCAUGAAGUUGAUGCCUCCCACAGUCACUACUCUCACCCAUCACUACUUCAGGCAGUAGGGAGAACUGGUCCAAGGGUCAUGAGCAUAGAAGUGUUGUGUUAAUAGUCAUUGACUGUACCACUCAGCAGAGCAGCUCUACACCUCAACUUGGGCAGCCCAAUAUAGCUGGGAUGUACUAGUGAGUCAUCCCUGAGGUGAGUGAGUCACUUACCCUGAGAUGUCAUUGGUGCAGAGGUGAUGCCCUCCCCAACACCAUUCCACUUACAGCAGACAGGGGAGUAGACCCUGGGUUCAUGAGAGGUAGAGAGCUGGUCCUGCCCAUCUCAGAUUAUAGCACUCAAGAGGAUAAACUCUUUACUUUACCUGGGCAACCCAGUGGAGCUGGCCCUGUUGGCCAGGACACAGAUGAGCCACCCCAAAGGCAUGAGUAUAGGAGAGAUGAUUUGCCCACUAAUCUGCUGUGAGUUGGCUUAAGUGUAGUGGUGAUUCCCUCUGCCUUACACCCCUCAACAUCUGAGGCAGUAGGGACAGCUGGCCCUGGGUCAUGAAAGCAGAUGUACUGCCCCUGCCCUUCACAGCUGCAGCUCUCAGGAGGCUGGGCACAGUACUUUACCUGGUCAACACACUAGUGCUGGCCCUGAUGGUAAAGACAUCCACUAAUGAACCAGCCAGCCCUGAGGGUGUGAGAGCAGGAAGAUUGUCCUAUCCCCUAAUUGGUCAGAACAGUUAUCAGAGUAUGCCCUGUCUGUACCUUGACCGGGCAUCACAGUGGAGACGGCUCUGGCUUAGGUGUAGGAGCCAGCCUGAAGGACAUGAGAGUGGGGGAGCUGACCCUGCUUUCCUAUGGUGGCUACAUUGGGUAGGCUAGCCAGAACAGUGCUAGACAGCUCUGACUGGUGUUUACAGGUAUGGGUGAACUGGCUUGGUGACCAACUCAGCUACCAGGUCUAGAUGCAGGACAUUAAGUUGGUCCAUCCCAAAAUCUAUAUCAUCUGCCAAUGGUUGCUAUGAGUGAUCCAGUCCUGCUGAUUCAAAGCUGCAGGAUCUCCAUGAUACAGGGCAACAACAGGAUAACUGGCAGAAAGAAUACAAUAUUGAUGGUGUCGCAGAAGCUAGAGGUCUCGAACCAGGCCAGAUGACUCAUUGCAGUGAGUAUUUGCAAGUAAAGAUGUGUGGACAGAGGAGUAUACUGUAGGACAUACUAGGACACACUACAGGGCGAGAUGUUUUCUAUACUUUAUUGGGCAUUGCAAAGAUAGAGGGUGUAUAGGAAGGGAUAGGGGAUGAGGAAGACUAGGGUGCAUGAUAGGAAACUCACAAAGAAUCAAUGAAAAGUUCAAGUAAAAAUGGGAAAGGAUGGGGAAAUGUGCACAUUCCAUAAAAUAGUGUAGUGUAAUUUUGAAGUCAGCAAGAAAGGACAGGAAGGGAACUCCAUGAAAUGAGAAAGACACCUGAUAAUCAUGGUUCCUCCUAUGAGUUCAGAAUCACAUAUCAAAUGGUGGCAACAGACAAGUUUUAGUAUCUGUUCCCAUAGUUAUUUCAGUUUUUUAAAGGGCAAUGUAAGAAAAAAGGUGACAUGAUUUUGUACAGGGAGAGCACACCAGAAACUUAUAACACACAUGCACCCAAUCUGCACCCUCCAUAUGAGCUGAAUCAUGAAGAAACCAUUACAGGGAAUGGGCAGAACUGCACAAAUGCUAAUUUACCUCAGGUGCGGUGUCAGAAUAUAUGCAUUCAUUGGAAAAUAAAUAACAUGUUUACAGGGAAACUGAUUAGAAAUGACAAAGUACACAAAAUAAAGUGAUAACUGAAAUAUAUAAAUAAUUACAAAGACUUAAAAAUUUGCAAAUAUGGUUAAUGUGUAUAAGAACUUAGAUAAUACUUAUGCUUUGGCAGAGAGCCAGAUAGUUGUUUGGGGACAUUGCAAUAUAUGUCUUGUGCAAUUUUCCAAGUCACUUUGGUAAAUAUUUUUCUAUUUAAAAAAAUCUCUGCAAUUAAUAGAUUGUAUCCUUCCUACACAAAAGUCAGAGUGGCUGACGAAUAAAGCAAAGAUUAAGGAACCAGAUUCCAAGAGCAAUAGUUCACGAGUAUUCCUAAAAUCAUUAAAAGUGUAUAUCUGAAACGAUACAAUCAAGGACAGCCCACAUAUUAAUAAUUGUAAUCACACAUGGACUGAGAUUCCUAGAGUGUAUGUAAAACAAGAAAGCAUUUGCCAUCCACUGGCCAUGGUGAUGGGAGGACUGAGAUAGUUUUAAAGGAAUACAAUCCUAUUAGCAUUGUAUGUUUCCAAAGCAACAUGUGGCCAGAAAACAGAGCAAUGUUUAUAUCUUCAAACAAAAAAAUGUUAGUCAAGGGUUUUACACACAGAAAAUUGGACUGUCAAGUAUAAAAACUGAAUUCACUAACAAUACAAUACUGAUACAUGGUGAAGAAUUAACUAGAUAAUGAGCUUGGGCCAAAAAUAAUGAUGAAGAAAGGUGUCUAUAAACUGUAAUGAUCAGCAAACAUUUACUUAAUUGGAAAAGUAAGGACAAAUCUCCAUCAAGGGAACACAGUUUGCUAAGGGUUGUGUUCAUUCAAUAUAGAUAUUGAUAUCCUAUAUUUAGGAAAGAAAUUUUAACCUUUUUUGAUCAAUUUGUGACAGAAUUAGCAAUAUAUGGACAUAAGUAUGUGACAGUUGUAUCCAUACACAGUCAUAAAUUAAGCUGUAUUACAGUAAUUUGAACUCAAAGAAAGGAUUAUUUUCACUUACUGACAAUUACCUAUUGUCAAAAUAGGUUUCAAAAUUAAAAUAAGUACAGAGAGGUUUAGAAGCAAACACUUAGUUGCAAGUUUCUUUCUUUUCAUAAUGCAUAUUCUUUUUAUGUGAAGACCAAAGCAAUUUAUGGCUUUCGGGUGUUCAUUGUAUGUGUACAGAGCACAGAAGUUACUUGUUGGACCUGGAUCUGGAACACCUAUGAAGUCAUCUCCUCUUGGUGUGUCAUGUGUCCUCCAAGUCAAUCUUCUCUCAGGGUAAGUGCUACUGUCCCAACAACAAUGACAAGGUUUUAGAAGUGGUAAGAAUGAGAUCCUUUAGAAAACACCCUUGUAUACUUUGACAAUUUUAUUCAAAUAUAAUAUGGUAUCUUUUACUGUGUAAAGGAAUAUUACAUAGGAAAAAGGCUUGGAGUGAUAAUCCAGUCCAAUAUAUCUAAUAUUUUAGAAAUGAUAAUGACCCUAUGGACAUCACUACAAACACCUUGCAGAAGAUGUUCACAUUGUAGUUCCAUGUGCAAUCCUGUAGUAGACAUGCUCACCUGCAGAGUAUGCAUUUUGAUAAGUUUAUCAGCCAUUUUAAUGGUCCUUUUAUGUAUUUGGUUGACUAUUUAAAAGUCCAUUUUUUAUAUGGCUUUUCAUGCACUCGGGAUUGUGAAAUAAUUGUAUUACAAAUGCAAAUUUUUAAAAUGGGCUUAAAUUUAGUUAGCCUUUUCCUUAAGUAUUAUUAAUACUCCUUUUAAGUGAUACUAUUUUCUGCAUUUAAUUAUAUACCUGUUGAUGACAAAAAAAUUUGAAAUACAAUGAGCUUCUCAUGGGGGCUGUUUAUCAAGCCACUUUGUAAAUGUAUAUGGUGUGUCCAGAGUCAUCAGGAGCGUUUGCAUUGUGUUCAUAUACUUUUCUAUAUUUGCCAUUUGCUUCCUGCUUUACAAGACAAAUAACUGCUGCACACUGAUGGGAAAUGGGAAGUGCUUUCAAUAUAAUCUAAUUAAAUUAUUCUCCAUUACAGCACAGAGUUGCUAUUUAAUUCCUACUUUGCAAGAAGGUUUAGAAUGAAUACAUUCUGUGAUGAUCAUAUGCUUCUAUUUAGCUGUUUCUAUAGUGAUUGUUACUAUCAUUUUUUUAAAUUUAAGUGAUUUUUUUUCUUUCUGGACAAA